GUGGUCGGAGCCCCCCAGUCCAGGCCCCUCCCAGUGGUCUCUGCCGCCUGCCUGACCUGGCUAAUUAAGGACUUUUGUCCUGCCAAGUUGGAACGGCUUUGGCUGCAGCUACUGAAAGUUGCCACUGACAAGAAAACGGAAAAGGAUGCCGUUGAGAAAAGGACAAAGAGCAACGAACUUGGUUAUAAUGAUACGAUGACAUUGCUGCAUGUAAAUAAAUGCAGUGCAAUAAGCAACAAGUUGUACAAGAGUUCACAGUCAGCAGUACUUUCUCAAGGGCAGCCUCUAAUAGCACAGGAAAGGUAAGGUUGUCAUCUACCCAAUUAGCAUGAAGCUACAGAGGAAACCCGAAUAGGUUUUUCGGAAAAAAAACUUAACAUACGAAGAAAAAUUUGUCCCGGUUUGAGGAUCGAGCCCAAGCCCAAUACUUUUGUGGUGGAGGAAGGUUAAUGAAAAGGCUGUUUCACAUGCAGCGACUGGGGCAAAAAAUAUCAUUGCUGCCAUGCACGUCGCCGAGCAAUUUUUGCUGUGAGCUUUCUCACACAUCAGCGAUGGUGCGACUUCCAUCGACGUGAUGCCGAAGGUUGCCCCCUGCUCUGAACAUAUUCACCCCUCUAUUAGCAGAAUAAAACAACAUGGAAACUGUUCAUGUGUUUGAUUUUGUAAUUUAGUAUUUAAAAAUAGAAUAUGUAGCAUGCUUUGUGAUCUUUCAUAGAAUUGUGCCACUACAACUGCAUCGUUGGUGACUACGGAGACACCGCACAUCAUGAAAUAGACUAUGGCAGAAAAGCCCCUACUUCCACGGUGUUUGCUGUUGGCCUGCCCAAAAUCACGCCGAUCGCUAUGACUUGACGGUACCCAGUUGUGGAGA
rnacentral:lncRNA from 1 species